rnacentral:rRNA from 1 species
CUAGUAAUCGCAGGUCAGCAUACUGCGGUGAAUACGUUCCCGGGUCUUGUACACACCGCCCGUCACACCAUGGGAGCCGGAAAUGCCCGAAGCCAGUGACCCAACCUUAGGGAGGGAGCUGUCGAAGGUGGAGCCGGUAACUGGGGUGAAGUCGUAACAAGGUACC